rnacentral:lncRNA from 1 species
CCACCACGGCGUGUUCUGGCACUGCAUUGGGUACGGGACAGGGUACGGGUAAGGCACGGCCUUGUAUAUUGGUUUCGGCGGAUCAGGCUUCUUCUCAGGUUCGCACUUGCAGCAGCAUUUGCAUGGUUUGGGAACAGGUUUCUUCUCAGGCUCGCACUUGCAGCUGCAUUUGCAUGGUUUGGGUUCAGGUUUCUUCUCGGGCUCGCAUUUGCAGCUGCAUUUGCAUGGUUUGGGUUCAGGCUUCUUCUCAGGUUCGCAUUUGCAGCAGCAUUUGCAUGGUCUGGGAUCAGGUUUCUUCUCAGGUUCGGCUGGUUUUUUUGGCGGCCAUUCGGGGACGAUGAUGAUCUCCGUGACGACCUUGCAGGCCUUGGAGCAGAUCUUCUUGCGGAGCUUCUCGGCGUCGAACUUGCCGCGGACGAUCACCUUGUUGUUCUUGUCCUCGUACUCGAUCUUCUCGAUGCA